rnacentral:lncRNA from 1 species
CAAAGUGUGAUUAUAGGAAAAUUAAUCAGAAAUCGAGAGAAGGCUCACGUGUCUAAUGGAAUCGGUACAACACUUGAUCACAUCAACCGUAGCCAUAAUUCGUUUCGGACAACGUAGCCGGUGCUGGAGCAAGAUAAAUUACCGGCGACGGAGUUCCGACGAUUUUACUUCAAUUACAGUACGAUUGUCCGGAUCUGGAUGGUGAAUUCAGCAUAAUACUGACCAAUGGGUUCUCGAGUUGGCUG